ensembl:lncRNA
CUGAAAGCUGUGUAUUUCUUUAGUCCUAUUCUAAACUUUAAAAUCCCCUAUUUUGUGUGGAUACGAAUUUGAUGCCGCUUCUAUGAAAUCAUAAUGAAUAAAUAAAUACGUAAGUAAAUAAGAAAUUAUGUUUGACUAAGCUAUAUUAGACCUCAGAGGCCUUGAGUGCUUCACACAUCUUCUCUUCAUAAUUUUUCUCAUCCUGUAGGCUGGUAGUAUUUUGAACCACAGUACUAGGAAUUCUCCCUCCACAAAGGAAAACUGCAAGUUAGAAGUAGUGGCAGUUAAACAUUAUGAAAAUACUUAAGGAUGUUUCAACUUAGUGCAAUUUUAAAACGUAUGUCAGGUUCUGCCUUUUUGUUUUUUAAUACAAGCUAACUUUCUAUUUUAAAAUAAUCAUUUUGUUUUAAACUAAACACAGUGCUGGUUAAACAUGUCCAAAAAACCUCAGACAUCCUUUCUGCACAUAGCAGGAAGAGCACAUGGCAAUAGCAGUGCAAAGUUGCCUCCUACCAGUAUUGUGUUGAGGGAGCAUAUCUAGUUCCAACUGAACAAAGUCUCUCCAUGUACUUUCUAUGAGGAUUUUCUUAAAUCCCACAUAAAACCUUGCUGAGAGUAAAUCAGUCUAUGCCCAUUUGCACCUCAUUUCGGCUGCUUAUCUCUCCUGUAUGGAUUUUCUCCUUAUUACAUAUCGUGGAAUAGAAACAAAUUUCUUUAAGACAAAACUCAAAUUAAUUUUUUCAGGAAUAGAGCAAUUUUUACUGUUCCCUUUAUUGUUUUGUUGUGAUUGUUUAUUUUAAAAAAUCUAUAUGGGAAUUCCGAACACUCAAACUGUAAGCAAUUGUAGUAUGUUUUUUUAGUCACCUUUUCAGUAGUGCUCUUCUUCAGUUCUAAGCUUCAACCCAAGUAAAGAACUUAUGGUGAUAAGCAUAGCAGAAAUACUAAGUCACAGCUUCGAACACUGAUUGAGCACCUGGUGGGAAGGCAGGGCUAACCGAGGGAGCUCAGGUGUGUGUAGUGCACCUGAGUGACUAGAAGGGCUGGAGCUAGGGCCCUCCUCAUUUAAGGCUUGGUAGUGGAGGUGUGGGUAUUCUACUGGAGAUUCCUGUGUUCCUCAGGUCUUCUGAAGGUAAGUAGAUUUUUUCUUUUGUUUCUGUGUUCAUAGCUGUUGUAUUUGAGCAAGUUUUUGCUUGUUAUGGCCUAGGACUUUGCUAUUCUGCUGUCACUGCUGCACUUUCCAUUAUGUUACAGUAGGUUUUUCAUUGCUGUAGGCAAGUGGAUGAAAAAAAUGUGCUAAUACCUGGGAAAAUAAUCAGGCUUCUCAAGAAGUAAGCGGGCUUUUUGCAGUUGUUGCUUUAACCUAAAAAACUUUUUUUUUUUUAAUGUUGUCUUCUGGCUUGGAAAUAUUAAGCUCAAUUUAUCCAACUGUGAGGAUGAUUCUAUCAAUGCUGAUUAUAAAUUAUGGGAUGCAUUUCUAAAUCUGAUGAGUUCCUGAAAUGUAAAUAUACUCUUUUAUGUAUCUUAAAGUUUUUCUUAGGCUUGGAUCUCAAAACAUAUAUUCCAAUAAUACUCUGCAUGCAUUGUUUUCAUCUUCCUUAGUGUUUCAACUUGCCAUAGUAUUAAGAUCAGAAAUGUGGCAUGAAGGUUACUAAUUAUACUAAUUAUAUAACUUAUUUCCUUUGUUAAAGUUGCAAGUGCUGUAAGUUUAUUCUUGACAUAUCUCUAAAAUGCCAGCUCGAGAGCUAAUCCAAAUGGAAAGAUAUAUGAUAUGAAAAAAUAAAAAGACAAACAAUUACAAGAUAGAUUUCUCCAAAACAAAGUUUAGUUCACUUAGAACAGGAUGACUCAACCUUUUCUGCCAGAAAGUUAGCUAUCCCUUCACUGGGGAAUAAGAGAACACGGAAUGUACUCUUAUACUAGCUCCUGUAAUGUAGAAUUUUUCUUUCCUUAUGCAGUUGAUUUUGUUUGUCAGGCACAGCUUCUCAACCUGUGAUGAAACAUUCAAACAUUACCUAUUCAUUGACUCAUCUAGAAGGGAAUCCAUGGGCCUAGUAGGGAAGUGACACAUUACAGCUGUGCUGAUGUCUUUGCUGUUCUUAGUUGGAGUCCAAAGUAUAGCACAUGUUUACAAGGAUUCAUCUUGUGAUGAUUUUUAUUAUUAUUAUUUAUGCUAACAAAGACAUUGAACAGAAUGGCAAUCUAAAUCUCAGUGGAGUGGAGAGUUAUGUGAAGUGUUGUAACGUGUUUCUCAUGGGAACUAACAGAGGACUAAUAGUAUAAUUUUCUUUAUUCUAAAUGAACAAAAUCUUAAGAGACUCCUUUAUACUCUUUCAAGAAUGUGCAAUUGGUUUCUUUUGUAUGGUAAAAAUCCAUGAAAUUCCAUACAUGAUAAUCUAUAAGUGUCAGAGGAAAAAUGGAAAACUUUUCACCAUGGUUUAGCUAGGCUGAGUCCGUAGGGCCUUCUGAAGGAGACAUCAAUAAUUAGCAGAACUAUUUGUUACUACCUUGUUUUCAGCAAACGAUAGCUAAAGUUUCAAAACAACUACUCAACUGCUAACAGGCAGAACUGGUAGUUCUGUUUGGUGAGAGAAAUCGGUGAUUUAAUAUUGUCAGUGAUUUUAGGGUGUUUUUUUUUUUAUGGCAACAACAGCAAUUUAUUAAUAAAAUCCACAGGGAUCUCAUGACUAACAGAAAGUAAUGGGCCCUCAGCUUUCCCAUACAAGGCCCACUAGUUAGAAAUAAAUAAAUGUAAGCUGAACUGCUGUAGCCUGCAUUGAAAUGCCUAAACAAGUGGUCUGGGAUAAAGUUCAAGCAAAUUCAAGAAGUUGAAAAAAAUUAUUUGUAUUAAUAAGUCAGUGGAUGACUAAAUCUCCAGGUGGAAGAAAGAAGUCAAAUGUGUAGGCAGUCUGAGGAUGUCUUAGGAGAGGCAUUUUCAACAUUAUGUAUGAAUGCCUUUGUAAUCAGUACUGGUAGAAAAAAUAUGAAAAAAUGAAAUAAUGAAAAAAUGUGUACAGUUCUCAACCUUUUGUUUGGGGAAAAGAAGAGGUCUGGAAGAAAAUUACACAUUUUGUGGAAUUUAGAGAAACAAAAGUAAUUUUUUUUUUUUUGAAUGUUAUCCAGAAUAAGGAUAUUGUUCCAUAAGGAACAAAGAGAUAUACAACAUGAAUAAAAUGGGAACUUAGACUGGAAAUUAAAAUGCUUCUGACUUUCAAAGGAGUGAAUUUGUGAAAUAACCAAGGGGAGCACAAGAAUAAAUAUGAUGUGGUUUCCUGCACCUCUCUUAUAUAGAUUUGCUGAGCUUAACAAUAAAGUUAGAGUGAAAAGCAUGAGUGUAAACAAGGUGAGAUAAAGAAGAGUAUGGGUAUAUGAUUAUAUGAUCUGUAUUUUCUGUUAGGAGAAGGCAAGGUGAUUGUGAUGACGAACGAGAAGCCAUCAGCCUUAAAUGGCUCAAAGCACAGGGAAGGGAGACCAACAGCAAGGGGGAAAUGGAGCAAACAGGAUCAGUUUGGGGAUGGACAGCAGAGCAGGUCUGUGAGUGUCCAAGUGUCAGCUGUUGGAAAUGUCAAAAGAAUACUGUUACACCAUAACAAUUGGGGGGAAAAAAAACUGGGCAGUGUGGUGGAGGUGCUGCUGUGCAGGCCUGCUCAGGCAGCUGUUUUGUUAAGCAUAAUUUUCUUGUACAUGACUGAAUCAUAUUUUUCCAAGCUGAGGAAAAAAGAAUCUGAUAUGUUUUCUUGAGAAUUUAUCUGAUGACAGCGCGUUUACUGAACUUCUCACAAAAAUCAUCACAUAAAUAUUUGAUUCUGAUUGCGAUUUCAGCAAGUUUAUUUCCAAGAGCUUGAUUUAUAGAUAAAAUUCUGUGUACCAGUCUCCAAAUAAAACAAAGACUGAGAAUAUGAAAGAGACAAAGUUACUGGGUUUUAUUGUAACAUAUUUUCAGCUACUCCUUUUUAUUUUAAGGAUAUAAACUGCAGAAACUAAGUGAAGAUGGAGAAAAUCCUUUCACUUAUAAUAAUUUGCAUUUCAAUAUUAGCUUCUUUUGCCUUCCUCUCCCAGUCUCUGACAAAUUCCUUGCUGCAGUUCUCACAUGAAAAGUCCUGAAAAGCAAAGCAAACAUCUGAACACUGUUGAAUUAAAAGAUUGAAGUAAUACAACACUAUUCAGGUUAACAUAAAUGUAAAGAACCAGUUAUAAUCUGAUUUAAUUACAUGACUAGAGACUUUCUGUCAGUGGAGUAAAUUUCUGAUUUACAAAGAAGGCCUGGAUGCAUUGGAACAUUUAUACUUCUUUUUUUUUUCCCAUGGUCAUGGUUUUAGAGAAUGAACUUCUGACCAUAAGGAGGCAUACAAGGAAACGAACAGGUUCCACUGUCCAUCACUGCAGAGCGGAGCUAUUCUCUGCUUGUGAGUUGAGCUCAGAAUUCACUUGCUGCUAAGCCUGGUGAAAAUAAGUGGAAAUUCUAUUAAGUCUCUUGCUCUCCACUUCUUUUGGAUCAGAAUCUCAUUACUUUAAAGUACUGUUACUGAAACAGUUUGGCAUCAAAUGCCUGAAAUGUGUCCUUAUUUCUUGAAAUUAGUACUAAUUCUAGCGGUAGUUGAAAGUAAUUUUAGGAGUGUGAACUGGUGCACUGAGAUUAUAAAUUGGCACUGCAGAUGUUCUUUUCAAUUCAUGAAAGCCAGUGGAAGUUUUAUCUGGCUGAGGACUUAGUGCCCAGCGUGUCAGGGCCUCAUCCUGGCUUUGCUCAUAUGCACAUUUUGUGAAUUCUUUUUAUGAGUUGCCAUAGAGCAUGUAUGAAUACCUUUUUUCUUUCUUGAGGAUGGAAGAAACCUUUCAAACACGGUUAGCAGGCCAUACAUUUUCCAAGUACUUCAUGACGUCUAACUUUAAUAUCAAAAAAAAAUUAUGUGGUAAUUUGCAUGAAGUCAGAACUGAUGAACUUUAGAUUUCUUAGCCCUGCCAUAAAGGAAGCAGUCAGGUCCAGUCAACAUGAGAGAUGAGAAGCUUUUAUUUACUCUUCUGCUGAAUCCCAAAGGAAGAAUAAGGUCAGGGAGAGGACGUUAAACUGUACAAUAUUUGGGCAGUGAGCUCUGCACAACGUAAAUUGAAUAUACAAUUCAAGUACAAGCUUGGUAAAGGAAUCCUCACUGUGUAUAUGAAAUGUUUCCCUGAUGAAUAGUCAAUGGCUCUGGUUUGUGUUUAAAUUCCUCCCUCUGCACUCAUGCAUUUAGGAAACUAGGUUGGAAAAGAUUCAUUUCUGUCAUUACCAGGCUUACUGGAACAAACAGGAAUGCUUCCACUGUGAAGAAAUUCUUUAUGAAAGAGACACUGAAGCAGUGGUGUCAGGUGGGGAAGCCAUAUCUAGUGUUUGUCAUAGCUUCUGUAGAAAGGCUGGCUGAAAAAGUCAGGGAUGCUCUGAAGAAGCAUGAUAUUUUGGUUUUCCAAAGUGCACCACCUGUUUACCAUGGUAAAUUACACUUAAAUAUAGGAAGUGUGCAAAUGGCAGUACCUCAUCACUUAAGCCUAGGCCUUCACCCACAAACAGCUGGUACAUUUGACCUGGAAACAUUUAUAAUGGUUAUUCCUGCCUUGACUAGCCGUGCUUUCUAACUGAGAAAACAAGAGCACAGCGUGGCCUUGACUGUGGUCUAACUGCACCACCCUGCGUGGCAUGUCUGGCCCAUGCUACCAACCUAUUUUUAAAAAGGAGCAGCGUGUCAUUUGAAGAAACUGUUUUCAGCUUCUAUUGCUGGAACGUAAGAAUCACUUUUAUCCUUCCUAACCAAAGAAAAGGAGGUGGAGAUAUUAAGAAAGGUAUCUAAAUAUAUCCAUUAAUUGAUGAACGUGCUAGCUUUGUUGCUUGUAUGACAAUAGAUGACUUCUGUUGAUUGAAUAAAUACUGGAGUAAAUGGAGGGUUUAGCUAGAAAUUGUUUUUGUGGGAAGCUGUCGUUGUGGUUGUGGCAUUAAACAAGUUCUUUGAAAACAUAGAAAAGAUUAAUCAUUGGCAUCUAGAGAGGGGAAAAAAAUGUUAGUGAUGUUUAUUGAAGGCAUCGUUAAAUGCCAUGGCUUAUUAUAAGACAUGAAAGAAAACAAGCUUCAACAAACCACAGCAGAAGGAAGAAGUUUUUUUUCUAAUAUUACAAAUUUUUGGAAGAGCUGAGUUUCUGCUUUAUGAGAACAAAUAUGUCCCACUCCAUAUUUAACCUUUCAGGGGGAUGAAGGAAGUUACUGCAAGAGUUCGUUAAAUAGGCACCACUUUAACAGUAUAUAAUUCUUUGAUGAAAGAUAGGAGAAGGAAAGGAGGCAGAGAAUGUGCCCCCUUCAUGUAAUCUGCAUGAAGAACAGCAGAUCUUUUCUGCUGUGUGUGCUGUUUCAUGAAGUAAAGUAAGACAAAGUAAGACAGACUAAAGUAUCAUUCAGCUCUUUUGGAUAUUCAUGUAAUGUCAAAUUUGAGAAAUGUCACUUCUGAGCUCAGCUAUAAAAAGUACUGCGUGUAUUUCAGCUCUUCCAAGUACAGCGCGUGAAUGGGACCAUCAGCUACUCCAGAUUUACUCAGAAUAUUUGACCCAGUAUUUUAAAGAUAUGUAUCUAUUUGUUAAUCCUCCAAAAUCGUGUUUUAAUAUUUAUUUUAAUAAUUAUCCUCUAUUCAGUAAAGAAGUCAGUGGAUGUUAUGUAAGAGUCAUUUUAAUACAGAAACCAGAUGGAGGUAGGUAGAUGUUCUUGUUAGAUGCUGUUUACCAUUCAUUUAUAGUGGUUUAUACCUUUUUUUCUCCAAGAAUAAAGGAGAAGUGUAUGAAAGAUUCAAGACUAAGCUUUCUUGGCUUCCCUUUAUCCUUGCUAUCCUACUCGUAUUUUGCAGCUUUUGAGCAGAUAGAAGGAAAAAGUUCAAUUAAACUUCAGCUCUAGGUAACCCUGAUAAUUUCUAGAGUAAGAUCUCAUAUAAAAGCAUGUGUUUUAUACUUUAUUAUUGUCUUCUAGUGUUGUACCUAACCAAUAUUUAAAGGCUAUAUCCAUUUUACAAAUCUGUGUUCCAGACCUUUUUGUUUUUGUCUUUUACUACAUGAAAAGGAGCAGCCAAAUUUAUAAAAGGCCUAUAAUAAAUGACUAUUCCAUGCCCCUAAGAUCAUCAGGAUUACUAGUGCAUCCUGAACAUUCCUAAACAAUGAAAAACUGUACUGUCCUACCCAAAUUGUUUUAUUUCUGUUAGCUGGUAUAAAAACUUCUGGAGCUCCUGGACUCCUCUGUGUUUGUUGUCAAUAUAUCUGGGCCAUGUUGGGAGAGUGCAAGUUGAAUGGGCAUGCAGCCAAAGCAGCCCAAAAGAAACUCUAGGAUCUUGUGCAAUCACACCAUUAGUAUAUGGAUGGAUGCAUCAGUGUUCUUUGGCCUGCUCCUUAUGGUUUUAUCUAUAUAACAUAGCCAAUAACACUCCUUACCAAUACUUAGAAUCAAUACCUUGCAUUGAUUGGUAGCAAGGAGCAACUAAUUGAGGAGAAAAAGUAAGAGAAGUUUAAGUUACUUUAUAUUGCACUGACAUGAACAUGUAUCAGUGCAGACACGUGGAGAACUCUUUCUAGUUACAGAUUGUAAGCAGAUGGCUAGAUUUGCAAUAGCUAAUGCUCAUAACUUGCCAUUGAAAGAAAAUGUAAAAUGAAGCAGCAAUUCUUAUGCCUAUUUCACUUCAUUCAAUAAGACUGUAUAUUGAACUUACUGAACUUUGCAAUAAUGUUUCCCUAUCUAUCAAAAAAGAACAGAGGUAGUGAUGACAUAGUUUAUUGCUUACUUUUGUUUCCUGUAGAGCUAGCAUGUUCCGUUCCAUUUGCCAUACAGUUCCUGCAAAAUAGUAUUUGGUGUUUUGUUUUCAAAUCAUUACCUUUCAUUUUUUUUUUCCUAUGCUAAAAGUGAAGUUCAUUUAAAAAAAAAAAGUGUUUAAUCAGGGUUUGCACCAUUAUUUGGUAAAAGAUGAUGACAGAGGCAGCACUCUACUUCAAAGACAUAUCAGUCUUUUUAAUAACAUGCCAGUGGUAAUCUUUCUGUGAGUUUCCAAACCAGAAAAUGAAAAACACGUGAGGCUAUUCUACUAUGAAAGAAUGGUGUGUUAACUCUUUACCAUUCCGUUAACAAAUGAUGAGCUGCAUAAAUCUCUACAAAUGGAAAGAGGGAAGGCAAAGGUGAUGUAUCCUGGCUUCUAUUCUCAUAAUGAAGUAGACAGAAAUACCAGUUCCCCAGUGCAUCUUGAUGGUCUGUCAAAUUGGGCAAAAACAAAGGAGCAUUUGAUUAUUUCUGUGCUUCAAUUAGGGAGGUUUCUGUCACUCACGGCCUGCUGUCCUUCUGUGUCAGAGGAAACCCAGUGUAAUGAGACAUGCUGCUAAGAAGGUUCUGGAGGAGGCUAGAGCACUCUUACCUGCAAUACCUGAGGAAUGUGCUUUUGUAGAACACUCAAAACGUACUUAUGAUUCUUCGGGCACAUAAGGCUGGACAGUCCAUUCACAGAUGGCCUUGAAGUCUUCAGCUUCUCUUGCAAGAUGAAAAUACAGCUCUCAGGAAGACAGCUCACAUCUAACAGGAGCCUGGGAAAAGAGGCCUGCUUUUUUUUUUUAUUAAAAAAAAAACUGUUUGCAAUACAGGCAGGAGAGCCGUAGUGCUGCUCAGAGGGAGAAUGUGCAACAGCAAUUCUUUGACAUGUGGUUGUCCUUCACAUUCUCUGAGUUUUUACUUAUUAGGCAGAAAAAGUGUUUCAUGGAGAUUCAUAGAAUGGCUUGUGUUGGAAGGGACCUCAAGGAUCAUCAAGCUCCAGUCCCCCUGCCGCAUGCAGGGCCACCAACCUCCAUAUCUAAUACUAGACAUAUAGACUUAUACAUACAGACUACACUAAGUAAUCUAUUAGAGCUUGAGAUAAUGGAAAGUCAUUUGGAAACUGGGAUCAAAUGAGAAAGUUGCACUUGGGCAAUGCAUAAUGUGUACAUGCUAAAGAUUGGUCAAGAUGAAUACUCUCAUCCAGAAGUCCUGUAGAUACAUCUUCACAAUGGGAAGUAUUCCACUGAAGCUACCUGUCCAUAUUAACAUGGCACAGAAUCCACAAAUGCUUCACUCCACUUCUCAGGCAAGCAGUGGAAGAAUUCUUGUAUCUUUCAUCUGUUGCUGCAAAGUGGUGCACAAGUCAAAAUCACAAUUGAAAAGUUAACAGUUGAUCAACCUUACUAUAAGCCUACUGAUACAAGAUCUGCAGAAAGGAAGGACUGGAUUAUUUGGGGGAAGAAAGCAAAAACAUUCAGAUCCUACAUCCAGAAGAAUUGCUGUUAAUGUUUACAGGUUUCAUGUAUGUUCUUUUGCCUGAGCUGUGCUUUGGGGUGCAUUGGCUCUUUUCUCUGGAGUAAAACAUGAAAAAUCUUCCUUUCUUUGGUGAUCUCCAGAGCUUUUUAAAGGUACGGUAGAACAAUAGUACUCUCACAGUAGUUUUAAUGGGACAGAAGUGUUGCUGUGUUGUCUUACAGAUUUUAUCAAAUUGUGCUUAGAAUUCAUUCAUUUUGAUCACUCAUAUUAUAGACAAAAUUCUUCUUGUAGGAUGUUUAUAUGUCCCAGAGCAUUCAUAAUGCACUGUGUUCAGCCAUCUACAAGCAUUUAAUUACAGACCGUCUGUUUCAUGUAAAAAAUAUUUGCCAAGACUCUUUUGGCAGAGUAAGGAGUGAACUUCGUAAAGGAAAACCAAGUUGCUCAUCGGUGGUGGCAGCAAAAAUGAGGAAAAGAACUACCCAAGAGUUUCUUGAAGAUUCCAGUUGAUGGAUCCUGGCCUGAUUGGGUCUCUUAUAUAAACCUUGAUGGAAUGGUGCUAAAUUUUGCAUGGAAACCUUUAUUUUUUUCCCCACUUCAACAACUGUAGCUGAAUGUACAUUUAAAAAUGGUAUUUGAAAAUUAAACUCAUAAGACAUCAUUAUACAAGACAUAAGCACAAACUUAGUACAGAAAGGGAGAAAGCAUCCAGUCUUUGAAAAUAAUGUUUGUGCCUUGUGCUUUUUUAAAACAUAAACAUAGAUUAUCAGCACACUACUAAAGUGAGGCUGCAUCUCACCUUCCACAGUCUCACAGCAUAAAAAUAGCAUAUUUGAACUUACCAGAAGAUUGAUGUUUCUUUGCUUUCGUAUUACUUUUUCCUUUGUAUUUUAUGAAAAUGUAUGCCUUGCUGUCCAAUGUUGAAAAUAUCCACUGAGGUGAUUUUAAAGUUAAACCUGAAGAUUCAAGUUGGAAGUUACUGAAGGAUGAGUUUGGGUUUUUUCAAAGUGCUAUUAUUUUGACUCCUUGAGGGCUCCACAUGAAUACUUUACCUCUCCUUUUCUUUCUUUGGUUUGAGAUUCAUAACUGCAGCUGCUGUGCAAAGUAAAGUUUCCAUUGAGGACUAGCUGACCAAAUUUGUCAUGCUGAAAGUGAAAGUUGUAUCAGAAAGAGUGGGGUUUCCUUCAGUGCAGCAAGUCUGAGUACUGGAGCAGGUUCUAUUUCAGUCAUCCCUCCACUUCAGCAUAUAUCAACAGAUGGAAUCAGUGCAUCUUUUCUGUUGUACUUCAGCCUCCUACUCACUGACCACAGCAGGGACUAUGUCACGUCAUUGAGCACCAAGAGACACUGGAGAGAGGGAGUCCAACUGCCCACAGAGGCCCUGAGGUGCCUGGAGGAGGGAAACACCCCAGGGUAUCUCAUCUUCCUCCUCCACCCUCCUCCCAAAGCCAAAUGCCCAGAAUGUGCUGAGCUGAACUGAAACCCUGCCCUGUGGCCUUGGGGAGCAGUCAGCUAUGUGGCUGUAGACACCAUAUGCUGAGGGAGCACCACCUUCCUGCUUUCACUGGCAGAAGUGAGUUUCCCUUAAAAACCAGCAAAUUAUGCAGUUUCACACCUGACUCUUCAGUUGAGCAGGUGGAAAUGUCCUUUUCUGGGCCUCAACAGUAAAGGAGCCAAAGGCCAGGGGUCAGCUAUUAAGUUCAGCUGUUCCCUAUUGCAGGUUCAACUCAUGCUCCCUGGCCUGGCUGUGCUCUGAGGCACCUUGAGGCACUUGUGCCUUUGCGGUAUGAGCUCAUUUGUUGUCAUUUCCACUUUGGGGUGGGAAAAAAGGUCAUAAGAAGAGAUCAGUAAAUGUGCAGCAUUCAUAAAGCAAGGCCGCUUCAAAACAGACACGUUGCAGUGUUAUCAUAUCCAGGAAAACAGCAACAGACAGCGUAACUUUAAAAUACCACCCAGAAACUCUUGCUUGGAAAGGACAACUCACAGCAUCAAAGCCUGGACGUACUUGCCAAACCAUGCUUUAACUUACUGCCAAGACACCAGAUUUAUCCCCUUAGUAGCAAUGAUGCGCUAGGCAAGAUGGUGAUUGCUACAGCAAAGUGGGGAUGGGUUUGUUUCACAGUGGUCACGAUGACAGAAGGAGCCCUGCAGAUAUUAAUACUUGAUGAGAAAGGUACAUGAAAUUAGCCUGUGAACUGUUUGUGGAUAAAUAUCUCUCAAGCAUACAAUAAGAAUUCAAGCAAAUUAAUUUAACAGCUAGAAGUCAAAUGUAAUGAAAAAAUAUUUAUGAAAAUUUUGUAUGUUUAGGUGAAUAGUUUCAAACCAAAAAUAAAUGAGAAAUAAAUACAGCCUAGUAGAAAUUGGACUGUGUUUAGAUUCUGAUAAUCUGAAAGGGCAUUUUUUAGCAUAAGGAUAAGUUCAGGUGAUUAUUUAAAGAAUAAGAUCAGAAUGGCUGUUCUUGACUUUAAUUUGGAGCCAAAAUAUUCUAUGUAAAGAACUUGUAAAAUCCAUGUCCCCUUUAGUUCUACAGUCAGUAAUUACUCACAGGAUAGAGUAUUCAGAUUUAUGAGGAAGAAGGAGAGAGUGGCAGUAAGUUGUUACUUCUAUUUCCAGCCAAUGUUUGCAAAUUCAAUGGCAAUAACAAACCAAAAACCUGACUUUCUCCCUUCAAACCGCUCUAUAUCUGUGGUCAAAAAUGUAUAGCUAUGUUUUACAUCUUUUUUAGCACAUAAACAUUUAAGGAUACUUACCUCAACCACACGACAAUUUUCUGAGCCUUGCAAGUCUUACAAAUCCCUAAUCACAGUUGGAUGUAUUCAGUAAUGUAGAAUUAAGGAGUAACAGCUGAAAUGCACCUGGGUUAGGUGGCUACUGAGGUUAUAUGGUGUCGAAAUAAUAAGGUGUGGGUCUGGUUAGAGAGGGACCAGGCAUCUGUUCCCACCUCAGCUACAACUUCCCAUACUAGUACUCAUAUUGAGUACUGAGUAUUAUAGUACUGAGGAUUAUAGCACUAGUGAUUGUGCUAUAACAGUGAUUGUGAUUACUGAGGUAAUCUAAACAGAGAACUUUGCUUCUCUGGAAGUGGAGAAUAACUACUGUAUUUUAGUGACAUGCUGAUGGAACCUCAGUUUGGAUGUCCAAAGAUGUAGUUCCUGGCUGAUGCAUAUACAAGUAAAUUGUUACUGACUUAAUUUUGUCUUAAUGGGAUUCUUUUGUUGACAAGGUAAAUUUGUGACUUCUGAGCCGAGAAUUGUCUUUAGCUGGUGACAGCUUUCAUUUAGAGCAAGCAUUAUACUUAUUACCAUGACAGAGGCCCUUAAACAGGAAGAUGGAUAAAUUCUACUAGCAAGGAAUGGUAGCUGGCCUCUUGAUAACAUAUGGCAUAGCAUUGAACAACUUCCUGGAAACCUUAGCAGUGCAGAGGUUUGAAAGAACUGGACUGGCCUGCAGUUCAUAAACAUCAUAGGCUGAAUAAGCUGCUUCUAACUGCAUCAGAAACUUUUGCUCAUAUAUUUAGACUUUGCUUCUAGAACUAAAAGUGCUAAAAAGUGGCAAGACUAAAAAGGCAGCACAGCAAUAAAAAUUCCAUUUUGACUCUGGGGAGAGCCUCAGAGAUGUUGUGGUCAGAAUUUUCUCCAUUAUUUGCAAGUUCUCAAAGAAGAAUUUUCUUCAUUCUGGAUUAGCUUUUUGCAAAAUCUAUUAAGACUUUUAAUUUCAUUUAAAAAUAUUCUUAUGUUUUGAAACUUAGUCUGCAGGAAGUUUAACCAGACCUUAAUUAAGGACUCUGAGUGUGACAGAAGCUUGUGUAUCAACAAGGUGCUUUGCUUGUCUGCCCAAUAAAAAUACAAGGAGUAAUGCCUGUUUGGGGAGUAAGCAGAGCAGAAGCGAAGCAGGGAGGGGGGCACAAAUUAUGAGCUGCUUUGGUCUCCAUUGUCAGGAAGUACUUCACCACUUCCAUUGCCUCACUACAUCUCUUCUAUUAGAAAGCCUUUAUAAAUUACAGGAAUAAGUGGCCCUUAGCAAAUAACUUCAAAACAGAGCAACUAAAUAGGACUGAAGGAGAAUGGGAAACUCCAUUCUGCUACUGCUAAAGCAUAGUUCUGAGCUGCUGGCAUUUUUUCCCCCUCUCAGCUCAGGAUGAAAGACAAAAAUGUUAAUAAUUUCCACAAAUUGAAAAUCUGAAAAAUGUGAGCUGAGGUCAGCUGGAACAUUUCGUUUCUAUAAUUUUGUAAUAUCUUUUGACAAUGCUGAUCUGUCUUUAAUCAUUUUAUGCCUAAAUUUGCUAAGAUUUCAAAAUUUUAAGAAGUUCCAGCUUGAAGGAAACAAAAGCUUUCUAACUCAAAAUGUUGAAGAAAGACUAUAUUUUAAUGUUUUCAAAAAAUAAAUAAAUCAAGGAGCAAUAGGAAAUUGAGCCUUUUCUUAGCCAUUAGUCUGAGUCAUAACACAGAUCGGUAACAAAUGCUGUGUAUUUCAGUAGGAGAGCACUCCAGUGACUAACUUUUUUUCCUAUCCGGUUGACUGCAGUGACAUUUGGGUCAGGCCUACUAAGAUGGUUCUCCUAACUGUGCCAGUGCCAGAAAAAUGCUUGCAUGCUGAUAAGUCAAUGGAACAUCAAAGAGAAAUAUUCAUUUUUGUAGUCAAGAACAAGAUAUUUGAUGGUGGAACUAAUCCCUUGGCAAUAAAAAAUUUCCUUUACAGUCAAUUCUAUGAUUAAGCCAAAGCCACUUCUUUGUUCCUCCACCUGUCCCCGUGAGUCAGCAACGCUUUCCUCUUGCUUUUCCUCCAAGUCAGAUGACAGUGCCUCUCCUGGGCUGCAGACGCACAAGUGUUUUGCCUACAGUUAUGACUUGUUUAGCUUUUGCAGUGUUGGCAGCCUCUCUGAGCUCUGGCACACUUUCUUCCAAAUGGGAGAGUCUGGAGGGGGCAGUUUAUUUCUCAUACUGAUCGUGGUUUUGUUACUCUAAAAAUCAGGAGUUUGAAAAUCUCAUCACAACCAUUCGUAAUUUGCUUAGAACUGUAACAAAAAUGCUAAGUUUCAUCCUUAAAAGAGAAGUACUGAAAUGUUUAAGAUUUAAUCCCAUGGGAUUCUAAAAUAUAUAUAAUAGUAAUAGUAUAAUAGACAUCUUUGGGCCAAAUUAGCUCAUUGCGUUUAUCCCUUACCUGCAACUCUGAUGGGCACAAAGACAUGUCCACU